rnacentral:rRNA from 1 species
GACGUAGGGCGCGAGCGUUGUCCGGAUUAUUGGGCGUAAAGAGCUCGUAGGCGGCUCGUUGCGUCGGCUGUGAAAACCCGCAGCUCAACUGUGGGCUUGCAGCUGAUACGGGCGGGCUGGGAUUCGGUAGGGGAGACUGGAAUUCCUGGUGUAGCGGUGAAAUGCGCAGAUAUCAGGAGGAACACCGGUGGCGAAGGCGGUUCUCUGGGCCUUACCUGACGCUGAGGAGCGAAAGCGUGGGGAGCAAACAGG